rnacentral:rRNA from 1 species
CCCUUAGAUGUUCUGGGCCGCACGCGCGCUACACUGACUACUUCAACGAGUUGUUUCCUUGAUCGAAAGGUCUGGGUAAUCUUUGAAAGGUAGUCGUGAUGGGGAUAGAUCCUUGCAAUUUUUGAUCUUCAACGAGGAAUUCCUAGUAAACGCAAGUCAUCAGCUUGCAUUGAUUACGUCCCUGCCCUUUGUACACACCGCCCGUCGCACCUACCGAUUGAAUGGUCCGGUGAAUCUUUAGGACUGUGGCUGAGGCCUUGCCUUGUGCGGGUCUGGCCGUGGGAAUUUAGUUAAACCUUACCAUUUAGGGGAAGGUGAAGUCGUAACA